rfam:Camelus ferus unplaced genomic scaffold scaffold1086, whole genome shotgun sequence.
AAGGGUGUAACUCAGUGGUAGAGUUUGUGGUUAACAUGCACGAGGUCUUGGGUUCAAACCCCAGUACCUCCG